UCGAACGAGUUCUCGUUGAUGAUCGGUGCUUGCACCGAGAUUCAACAUGGAACGAGUGGCGGACGGGUGAGUAGCACGUGGGUAACCUGCCCUUAAGUGGGGGAUAACAUUUGGAAACAGAUGCUAAUACCGCAUAGAUCCAAGAACCGCAUGGUUCUUGGCUGAAAGAUGGCGUAAGCUAUCGCUUUUGGAUGGACCCGCGGCGUAUUAGCUAGUUGGUGAGGUAAUGGCUCACCAAGGCGAUGAUACGUAGCCGAACUGAGAGGUUGAUCGGCCACAUUGGGACUGAGACACGGCCCAAACUCCUACGGGAGGCAGCAGUAGGGAAUCUUCCACAAUGGACGCAAGUCUGAUGGAGCAACGCCGCGUGAGUGAAGAAGGCUUUCGGGUCGUAAAACUCUGUUGUUGGAGAAGAAUGGUCGGCAGAGUAACCGUUGUCGGCGUGACGGUAUCCAACCAGAAAGCCACGGCUAACUACGUACCAGCAGCCGCGGUAAUACGUAGGUGGCAAGCGUUAUCCGGAUUUAUUGGGCGUAAAGCGAGCGCAGGCGGUUUUUUAAGUCUGAUGUGAAAGCCCUCGGCUUAACCGAGGAAGCGCAUCGGAAACUGGGAAACUUGAGUGCAGAAGAGGACAGUGGAACUCCAUGUGUAGCGGUGAAAUGCGUAGAUAUAUGGAAGAACACCAGUGGCGAAGGCGGCUGUCUGGUCUGUAACUGACGCUGAGGCUCGAAAGCAUGGGUAGCGAACAGGAUUAGAUACCCUGGUAGUCCAUGCCGUAAACGAUGAAUGCUAG
rnacentral:rRNA from 1 species